AUUAAGUUCUGGCCCUCACGGCCUCUUUCGUGCAAAACCCCGCUGUGCAGGGACUGGGGCCGUGAACAGCUCCACAAUGAGGGACUCCAGGGAAGCUGGAGGAGAAACAGGGGGGACACAAGUGCAACACAAGAGAUCAAAAGGUGGUCGCCGGCUAAAGGUGACGGGUCCGAAUGAGGAAGUGGGUAGGGGGCCUUCCCUGCCCACACGUGGCCGUGACCUCCGCAGAGGGCUGCAGGAAGGAGCUCAAUGCGGAACCGCGAAGGCUGCUGCAGCCCUCAGAUCUAACGCCUUUGACGCGUUGGAGCUUGUCAGCGAUAAAACCUGACGUGUGAAAAAAGAACAAAGGGAAGUCGGAAGGCUAGUGUAUAUCAAAGGAAAGGGGCUCCACGAAAUGCUACAAAGAAAUACUUCAGCCCAAAAUGUUUUCGCAAUUUGAGACGCUGAUGCAGCCGCCGCUGCUCCACCUGCAACUCUGAGCGUUGCCUUCUCUUUAACUGCCACUUUGAUACCGCAGCCUUUUGAAGUCCUUUUUCCUACAUGUAUUUGUAAUUUAUUUCUGCAACAGCUAGAACUUACUGUGGCUGCUGUUUACCCUCUAGUUGGGCUCUACUGCGAGGCAAGGCAAAAGUCAGGUCAGUCGGCGCCCUCUCCUGGUAAAGCUGCGAAGCUGCAGCAAACAGAGCUAAAUUGGUAUUUUCCCGUUUGCUGCGGCAAAUUUUUAUUAAAGUAUACCCUAUAUUUAUGAUUAUUAAACUUUAGUGUUCGCCAGAAUCGCCUGCAGGCCUCCUUAAAACAAGAUGUCUAAGUCCCCACCCCCACCUCCCCGCCGGAUUUCUGAUUCACUAGGUCUGGAGUGGAGCACAAUACAUUUGCAUUUCUAGCAAGUUCCCAGGUGAUGCUGGUAGAGCACACGCCCAGAACCACCGCCAGGUACACAAGUCACUGGACAAGGUGGGAAGGCAUCUCACUCAAUCAACGGACCUUAUUCUAAAGCGGGAAGGGCACUGAGAGUAUAGGGAGGGUAUCUCUCAAAUGAGGAGCCUAUGACCUGCUUCAGGGGAAGGCCAACAACUUCUUGGAUUUUAUGACCUGCUUCAGGGGAGAAGGACAAGGGAAGUACAGUGCCUACAACAAUGCAAAGGCUAGAAGGAAUGAAGGCAGGGACAUGGAAUGGAGAAUUUCCAUUUCACAGAUCCACAUAAACUGAAAAGGAACAAGAGUCGGUGAGACCAAAGAGCACUGAAGGCCAUGAACCAUCACCAUUCUCAACCCCUGGGCCAGGCAAGAAAAGCCACAGUUCCUGGAAGGGAUGACGACAGGACCUAACAGACACAGUGACCAAAGCUACAGGGGCCUCCAGAGGAAACGGUGAGAACCACAGGAGAAAGGGGGUCUUUGCUGCUGACGGCGAGCACCCAAGCCCAAGCUCCCAGUGGUGAUCUCUCACAAGACCACACAGCCGAUUUCCCUGGAGACAGCACAACCUGUUAAGGGCAUCUUCCAUGCCAUUAAGGGAGUCCCUAUGAAAAUCAUGGAGUCUUGGGACAUCUGAGGCGAGAGGAAAGACGGCAAAAGCAGAGGCAAAGACAGAAAUAAAUCUUCUCUUCUUUUCUUGGGCUUACUGAAUUAUUUUCAUCCAUGCCCUUUUAAAAUAUGGUUGGUAGAAAUUUGCCGUUUGAGACUAGAAUCCCAUUCGGAAUCAUGUAAGUCUCUUUUGACUCCACGAGGACAUCUUUCACCCAGUUUUGGGAAAUCUGAGGAAUGGAUUCUUCUACAGACUCUGAUAAAAUAUCACAAGGUCCAAGAGUUGGUGUGAGAAAGAGGACAUCAAGAUUAUUCCCUAGGAUCAUUUAUUAUGUGCCUACUGCAUGCAAGGCACAGUGGGAAUACAGAUACAAAGAUAAAUAAGAUUGUCUCUGCCCUGAAGAAAACUAUAAUUUCUGUGUGUAGAAAGACACACAACUGACUCUUCUAUCACAGACCAUCCAAGUUCUGACAGAGUCACUAGAGGUUUCUGAACAUGAUGGAUGUGAACGUGGUAGACAUACAAAGGAAGGCAAGAAGGUAUCUCAACACAGCAGAACAAGACCCCAUGAGGAGCCCAGAAAAAAAAUAAAGAAGUUUCCUCACUGGUUAGGAAUUCAAAAGCAGUCCUGGCAACCUCAUAGCAUCUUUACCUCAGAAGCAGGCAGCUCUGGUUACUCCACCAUUUUCAGGAACAAGGUUUUUCUCUCCUCCUCUGCUGCAUUUCCUCUGCUGCUCCUGAUCCGUCUGCCUCUACCUUCUUCCUACCAUCAAAUUUCCUCCCAGGAGACAACAUGAAUGGGUUAAGAAGUACCUAACGAGGGCUGCUCCAACUGGACAGCAUCUUUGAAACUGGGACCUCACAGGUGGUCAUCACAGGCCCCUGAUGCCUGGGUACCCAGCGACCAUCCCCAGUCUAGUCUGUCUAUAGCAACAUAGGUGAAGGGGAGUCUCAGGGGCUGCCUAAGGGGCUCAGAAUGUGGUGAGUACUUAAGACUGCAUGGAUUUUCACUGUUUACAUGAAUAUAGGACAAGUAUUCACAGAACUAUUAGCUAGAUCUGUGAACAAAACAUUAA